GCUGAGUGAAGCCUUCGGCUCACCGAAGAAGUGCAUCGGAAACUGGGAAACUUGAGUGCAGAAGAGGACAGUGGAACUCCAUGUGUAGCGGUGAAAUGCGUAGAUAUAUGGAAGAACACCAGUGGCGAAGGCGGCUGUCUGGUCUGUAACUGACGCUGAGGCUCGAAAGUAUGGGUAGCAAACAGGAUUAGAUACCCUGGUAGUCCAUACCGUAAACGAUGAAUGCUAAGUGUUGGAGGGUUUCCGCCCUUCAGUGCUGCAGCUAACGCAUUAAGCAUUCCGCCUGGGGAGUACGGCCGCAAGGCUGAAACUCAAAGGAAUUGACGGGGGCCCGCACAAGCGGUGGAGCAUGUGGUUUAAUUCGAAGCUACGCGAAGAACCUUACCAGGUCUUGACAUACUAUGCAAAUCUAAGAGAUUAGACGUUCCCUUCGGGGACAUGGAUACAGGUGGUGCAUGGUUGUCGUCAGCUCGUGUCGUGAGAUGUUGGGUUAAGUCCCGCAACGAGCGCAACCCUUAUUAUCAGUUGCCAGCAUUAAGUUGGGCACUCUGGUGAGACUGCCGGUGACAAACCGGAGGAAGGUGGGGAUGACGUCAAAUCAUCAUGCCCCUUAUGACCUUGGGCUA
rnacentral:rRNA from 1 species